rnacentral:rRNA from 1 species
GACGAACGCUGGCGGCGUGCUUAACACAUGCAAGUCGAACGGUGAAGCGCCUUCCUUUUUGGUGGGUGUGGAUGAGUGGCGAACGGGUGAGUAACACGUGAGUAACCUGCCCCCUUCUUCUGGAUAACCGCAUGAAAGUGUGGCUAAUACGGGAUAUUCUGAGUCUGUCGCAUGAUGGGUCUGGGACAGAUUUUGUUUCGGUGGGGGAUGGUGGCGCGGCCUAUCAGCUUGUUGGUGGGGUGAUGGCCUACCAAGGCGGUGACGGGUAGCCGGCGUGGGAGAGUGGACAGUCAGACUGGGAGUGAGGCACGGGCCAGACUCGGGCGGGAGGCGGGGGGAGGGAAGCUUACUGAGUGGGAGCAAGACGGAGGCAGGGACGCCGCGUGAGGAAGGGAGGCGGUCGGGUUGGGAACCUCUGUGGCGAGGGAGGCAGGCCUGCCUCGUUCGUGGCUGAGUGGACGGUAGCUGGAUAAGAGGCGCCGGCUAACUACGU